UACGUAGGUGGCAAGCGUUGUCCGGAUUUACUGGGCGUAAAGAGCGCGCAGGCGGUCGUUCAAGUCGCGUGUGAAAGCCCCCGGCUCAACUGGGGAGGGUCACGCGAUACUGAUCGACUCGAAGGCAGGAGAGGGUAGUGGAAUUCCCGGUGUAGUGGUGAAAUGCGUAGAUAUCAGGAGGAACACCGGUGGCGAAGGCGGCUAUCUGGACAGAAACUGACGCUGAGGCGCGAAAGCUAGGGGAGCAAACAGG
rnacentral:rRNA from 1 species